AUGCUUGUUCUUGGAUACAUUUCUCCUCGUCCUGCCAUUUUUGGCACUGUGAGUGGGCUCAUAAAGAUGAUGGGGUUUAUGAUGUUCAUGAAUACCCAAGUUUUCACGAGAGUGGUUUCUAUUUCUUUCUGCCAAAUUUUAUUUUUCUGUUCACUCACGCCCCCUCCCAUCACCACCCUUUGGCACGUCAAAUUCAACUUCACGAGCGGUGCACGGGAAAAGCGAUGUAUUUACGGCUGGUUCUUUAUUUCAAUUAAUAAUUAUGAUAGACUACAGAAAAAUCAUACAUUUGGGGAAAGGGGAAAAAGGAAAACAGGAGCAGGGAAAAGGAGGUUCUACUGCUGCAGUGGAAAACAACGCAUUUAUCUCAUGUAUUGUGGGCCACGUCUCUUUCUUGGUAUUUACUACGGCUGCUAUGGCUCCUUUCCUGUUUGAGCACCUCAAUUCUCUGUAUAGGAGCUACGGUCUCUGUUAAUGGAGACAGGACAUUUCUCUCUCUCUUCUAUGGACAGAAUUUUCACCAACGAUAUCAUCGGUCUGUGUGAAAAGGGAGGGUCCUGCAGGACUCCUUCUAUCUCCAGCGGUCUAAAGGCUGGGGCUAAGCAAGUUAGAGGCACAGGCACCCUGGUUUUAGUCAGAUUUAUAUGCACCUCUCCUAUACCCUUGGCACUUUGCAUAGAUUAAAAGACAAUAUUCUACACAACCAAUUAAGAUCUUAUCAUAUUAAUUGAACUGUCAUUAUAACAUUACCACAAGCCAUCUGAGUAAUCACUAUAUGAUAACUCCUUAUAACCCAGCUCAUUGACCUACCAGAUGCCUGCAGAAAAGGUACGUUUGGCAGUAUGCCUUCAAAGCUCAGAACCUGACCAAUAAUUCCUAAUACAAGGGACCUUUUCCACCUAAAUCAGAUGCCUCCUAUUUAUCUGUAUCUGUUAUAUAAGGGGAAAACAGGCAUUUUUUUU
rnacentral:lncRNA from 1 species